rnacentral:ncRNA from 1 species
GCAUUCUCCUGGAGAAACUGGAUGCUCAUGGCAUCGCUACACUGACUGGCUCAGCUUGUGCUUACCCUCUGCCGGCAGACGCAGGUAACCCAUUGAACCCCAUUCGUGAUGGGGAUUGGGGAUUGCAAUUCUUCCCCGUGAACGAGGAAUUCCCAGUAAUUGCAGGUCAUAAGCUCACGUUGAUUAAGUCCCUGC